AAGAAAACGACCAGGAAUCUGAGA
rnacentral:rasiRNA from 1 species